UAUUUAUUACAUUAUCAAUAUAAUACAUGUUUUUAUAAUGUACUUGAAUUAUAACUUUAAGCUCACUGAUAACAAUGCUCAGUAUAAAAGAUAACUUGUAUAACCAGUGGAACAUAUUUCACAGACAAGGAACUUAUUUCACCAGGAAUAACUGUGUUUUACUAAAGCGACCUAUAAAGAAGACACGAUGACGAAACUGUUGUUGAUUGUCCUAAUACUGUUCAUAACUACAGAUAUUGUGUAUUCUCAAAAUAGCUGUACUUGUCCUGCGGUUUGGGAUCCAGUUUGCUCCACAACUAAUGAGACUCAUGGUAAUGAAUGUAGCCUACUUUGCGCUAAUCAAGUUUUAGCUUGCCGUCGUGAAUGUCCAUGUGUGACAGUUUCUGUGAAUGCAACAGCAACACCACACGGCUAAAUGAGAUGGAAUAAUACAUUUUAUAUAUAUUUAAAAAAAAAUUCAAAGAAUAAAACAUUUUCAUAUUA